rnacentral:rRNA from 1 species
UUUCACAAUGGGCGCAAGCCUGCAUGGAGCGACGCCGCGUGGGGGAUGAAUGGCUUCGGCCCGUAAACCCCUGUCAUUCGGGAUCAAUCCCUCUGACCUAAUACGUCCGAGGUUGAUAGUACCGGAAGAGGAAGGGACGGCUAACUCUGUGCCAGCAGCCGCGGUAAUACAGAGGUCCCAAGCGUUGUUCGGAUUCACUGGGCGUAAAGGGUGCGUAGGUGGUGAGGUAAGUUUGAUGUUAAAUCUCCGAGCUCAACUCGGAAAUGGCAUUGGAAACUACUUGGCUAGAGGAGUGGAGGGGGGACUGGUAUUUUCGGUGUAGCAGUGAAAUCGUAGAGAUCGAUAGGAACACCAGUUGCGAAGGCGAGUCCCUGGACACUUCCUGACGCUGAGGCACGAUAGCUAGGGGAGCAAACAGGAUUAGAUACCCUGGUAGUCCUAGCCGUAAACKGUGCGCAUUUUCUGUGGGCGGAAUCGACCCCGCCCGUUGCGCACUAAACGCGUUAUAUGCGCCGCCUGGGUGAGUACGGUCGCAAGAUUAAUACUCAAAGAUAUUUACGGGGGCCUGCACAAGCUGUGGAGUAUGUUGCUUAAUUCGAUGCACCGCGAGGAUCCUUCCCUGGCCUUGACAUGCGCGUGGUAGAAGCGUGGAAGCGUGCCGCCUCCGAAAGGAGAGAGCGCAAAAGGUGCUGCAUGGCUGUCGUCAGCUCGUGUCGUGAGAUGUUGGUUAAGUCCCGCACCGAGCGCAACCCCUGUGUCCUGUUGCCACCCGGCCGAGAGGCUGGAGCACUCUGGACAGACUGCCUCGCUUCACCGAGGAGGAAGGUAAGGUUGCCGUCAAGUCAGUAUGGCCCUUACGGCCAAGGCUGCACCCGUCCUACAUUGCCCGGUACAAAGGGAAACAAGGCCGUCAGGUGGAGCAAAUCCCCCAAAACAAGACCCAGUUCAGAUUGACGUCUGCAACUCGACGGCUUGAUGCUGGAAUCGCU